CCCUACGGGGCGCAGCAGGCGCGAAAACUUCACACUGUGCGAAAGCACGAUGAGGGAAUCCCAAGUGCUUGCACGUAAGUGUAAGCUGUUUCUCUGUCUAAAACGCAGAGAGAGUAAGGGCUGGGUAAGACGGGUGCCAGCCGCCGCGGUAAUACCUGCAGCUCAAGUGGUGACCGUUAUUAUUGGGCCUAAAACGUCCGUAGCCGGUUUAAUAAAUGCCCGGGUAAAUCGUGUAGCUUAACUAUACGAAUUCCGGGUAGACUGUUAAACUUGAGACCGGGAGAAGUUAGAGGUACUCCUGGGGUAGAGGUGAAAUUCUGUAAUCCUAGGGGGACCACCAGUGGCGAAGGCGUCUAACUAGAACGGGUCUGACGGUGAGGGACGAAGCCCUGGGGCGCAAACGGGAUUAGAUACCCCGGUAGUCCAGAGUGUAAACGCUGCUUGCUUGAUGUUAGUCGGGCUCCGAGCCCGAUUAGUGUCGGAGAGAAGUUGUUAAGCAAGCUGCCUGGGAAGUACGAUCGCAAGAUUGAAACUUAAAGGAAUUGGCGGGGGAGCAC
rnacentral:rRNA from 1 species